rnacentral:rRNA from 1 species
UACGUAGGGGGCGAGCGUUGUCCGGAUUUAUUGGGCGUAAAGCGCGCGUAGGCGGCGCGGUAUGUCGUGCGUGAAAUCUCCCGGCUUAACUGGGAGGGGCCGUGCGAAACUGCCGGGCUUGAGGUCAGAAGGGGAAAGUGGAAUUCCGGGUGUAGUGGUGGAAUACGUAGAUAUCCGGAGGAACACCAGCGGCGAAGGCGGCUUUCUGGUCUGAUACUGACGCUGAGGCGCGAAAGCGUGGGGAGCGAGCCGG